rnacentral:rRNA from 1 species
AGGGCACCACCAGGAGUGGAGCCUGCGGCUUAAUUUGACUCAACACGGGGAAACUCACUCGGCCAGGACACAAUAAGGAUUGACAGAUUGAUAGCUCUUCCUUGAUUUUGUGGGUGGUGGUGCAUGGCCGUUCUUAGUUGGUGGAGCGAUUUGUCUGGUUAAUUCCGAUAACGAACGAGACUCUAGCCUAUUAAAUAGACGAUAUAUUAUUAGUUUAUCGAGCUUCUUAGAGGGACAGGCAGCUUCUAGCUGCACGAGAUUGAGCAAUAACAGGUCUGUGAUGCCCUUAGAUGUCCGGGGCUGCACGCGCGCUACAAUGAUAAUAGCAGCGUGCAUUAAAACCUUUUCUGGUAAGAAUUGGUAAACACGAAAUAUUGUCGUGCUUGGGAUAGGGGAUUGAAAUUAUUGCCCUUAAACGAGGAAUUCCCAGUAAGUGCGAGUCAUUAGCUUGCGUUGAUUACGUCCCUGCCCUUUGUACACACCGCCCGUCGCUACUACCGAUUGGAAGAUUUAGUGAAU